rnacentral:rRNA from 1 species
UCGGGAAUUUUGGGCAAUGGGGGAAACCCUGACCCAGCAACGCCGCGUGAAGGAUGAAGUAUUUCGGUAUGUAAACUUCGAAAGAAUAGGAAGAAUAAAUGACGGUACUAUUUAUAAGGUCCGGCUAACUACGUGCCAGCAGCCGCGGUAAUACGUAGGGACCAAGCGUUGUUCGGAUUUACUGGGCGUAAAGGGCGCGUAGGCGGCAAUUCAAGUCAUCUGUGAAAUCUCCGGGCUUAACUCGGAACGGUCAGAUGAUACUGCUUUGCUAGAGUGCAGAAGGGGCAAUCGGAAUUCUUGGUGUAGCGGUGAAAUGCGUAGAUAUCAAGAGGAACACCUGAGGUGAAGACGGGUUGCUGGGCUGACACUGACGCUGAGGCGCGAAAGCCAGGGGAGCAAACGGGAUUAGAUACCCCGGUAGUCCCUGAGCGGGCUGGCAAGGCGCAU